AGAGUUUGAUUAUGGCUCAGAUUGAACGCUGGCGGCAGGCCUAACACAUGCAAGUCGAGCGGCAGCGGGAAAGUAGCUUGCUACUUUUGCCGGCGAGCGGCGGACGGGUGAGUAAUGCCUGGGAAAUUGCCCAGUCGAGGGGGAUAACAGUUGGAAACGACUGCUAAUACCGCAUACGCCCUACGGGGGAAAGCAGGGGACCUUCGGGCCUUGCGCGAUUGGAUAUGCCCAGGUGGGAUUAGCUAGUAGGUGGGGUAAUGGCUCACCUAGGCGACGAUCCCUAGCUGGUCUGAGAGGAUGACCAGCCACACUGGAACUGAGACACGGUCCAGACUCCUACGGGAGGCAGCAGUGGGGAAUAUUGCACAAUGGGCGCAAGCCUGAUGCAGCCAUGCCGCGUGUAUGAAGAAGGCCUUCGGGUUGUAAAGUACUUUCAGCGAGGAGGAAGGCGUUAAGGUUAAUAACCUUAGCGAUUGACGUUACUCGCAGAAGAAGCACCGGCUAACUCCGUGCCAGCCGCCGCGGUAA
rnacentral:rRNA from 1 species